rnacentral:rRNA from 1 species
GAUGAACGCUGGCGGCGUGCCUAAUACAUGCAAGUCGAGCGAACAGAUAAGGAGCUUGCUCCUUUGACGUUAGCGGCGGACGGGUGAGUAACACGUGGGUAACCUACCUAUAAGACUGGGAUAACUUCGGGAAACCGGAGCUAAUACCGGAUAAUAUUUCGAACCGCAUGGUUCGAUAGUGAAAGAUGGUUUUGCUAUCACUUAUAGAUGGACCCGCGCCGUAUUAGCUAGUUGGUAAGGUAACGGCUUACCAAGGCGACGAUACGUAGCCGACCUGAGAGGGUGAUCGGCCACACUGGAACUGAGACACGGUCCAGACUCCUACGGGAGGCAGCAGCAGGGAAUCUUCCGCAAUGGGCGAAAGCCUGACGGAGCAACGCCGCGUGAGUGAUGAAGGUCUUCGGAUCGUAAAACUCUGUUAUUAGGGAAGAACAUACGUGUAAGUAACUGUGCACGUCUUGACGGUACCUAAUCAGAAAGCCACGGCUAACUACGUG